CUACGGGGGGCUGCAGUGAGGAAUUUUGCGCAAUGGGGGCAACCCUGACGCAGCAACGCCGCGUGAGUGAAGAAGGCCUUUGGGUCGUAAAGCUCUGUCAACUGGGAAGAAGUUAAGAUUGUUUAAUAGAUGAUCUUAUUGACGGUACCAGUGGAGGAAGCGCCGGCUAACUCCGUGCCAGCAGCCGCGGUAACACGGGGGGCGCAAGCGUUAUUCGGAAUUAUUGGGCGUAAAGGGCGCGCAGGCGGUCUUGUCAGUCAGGUGUGAAAGCCCGGGGCUCAACCCUGGAAGUGCACUUGAAACAGCAAGACUUGAAUACGGGAGAGGAAAGCGGAAUUCCUGGUGUAGAGGUGAAAUUCGUAGAUAUCAGGAGGAACACCGAUGGCGAAGGCAGCUUUCUGGACCGAUAUUGACGCUGAGGCGCGAAGGCGUGGGUAGCGAACGGGAUUAGAUACCCGCGUAGUC
rnacentral:rRNA from 1 species